UCCCUGGUGGCCCAGUGGUUAGGGCUCCGCACUGGCACUACAGGGGGCUCAGGUUUGAUCCCUGGCUGGGGAA
rfam:Ovis aries breed Texel chromosome 3, whole genome shotgun sequence.